UAAUUAUAAUGGUUAAAUAACUUUUUACCGAAUUUAGAAGAUUUACUUGGUUAUUGAAUUAUUGUUGAAUAAAUAUUUUUAAUUGCUAGGUCGUGGCGAAAUGUUAUUCGUUUCUAAAGAUAUCUGUUUUUUCAGGAAAUGAAUUUAAUUCAUUUGAUAAUUAUUAAUUUUUUAUAUUUUUAAUUGGUUAAUUAUUAUUAGUAAAUGUUUAAAGGGAUGAGCUUUUAAACAAAUUUUUAUAAGUAAUAUAAUUUUUGAAUUGUAAGUAGGAUUAUUAGUUUCCAUUAUUUAUAGAGUGUUAUAUCUGAUUUUUCAUGAAGUUUUAUUUUUAUUUUUUUUAAUUUUUUUACUGAAAUAUUAGUUUUAAUUUUAUAUUUUAAGUAAUAAUGAUUGAAUUAGUAUAAUUUGCUGUAAUUUUAAUUAUUUUUUUUAGGUUAGUAAAAGGAAUUCGGCAAGAAUAUUUUCCACCUGUUUAUUAAAAACAUGGCCUUUUGAUGAUAAUUUAAGGUCUGACCUGCCCACUGAGUGUUUAAAUGGCCGCGG
rnacentral:rRNA from 1 species